rnacentral:rRNA from 1 species
UACGUAGGGGGCAAGCGUUGUCCGGAUUUAUUGGGCGUAAAGAGCGUGUAGGCGGUUUGGUAGGUCCGCUGUGAAAACUCGAGGCUCAACCUCGAGACGCCGGUUGAAACCAUCUGGCUAGAGUCCGGAAGAGGAGAGUGGAAUUCCUGGUGUAGCGGUGAAAUGCGUAGAUAUCGGGAGGAACACCUGUGGCGAAAGCGGCGCACUGGACCACAACUGACGCUGAGGCGCGAAAGCUAGGGGAGCAAACAGG